GCCAUCCAGACCUGGGGGUUCGGGAGCUCCUGGUAGUCCUUUGAUCGGAAUGAAGAUGGUGUCUCCUGUGUCUCCGGGGGCACCUUUUCUACCUGGAACAGAUGGAAAAGGGGAUAUUGAAGAUUCUCAACUGCACUCCAAUGUUAUACAAAAAUGGCCCUCAUCUCCUGGUAAGCCUCGUUGACCGUCAAAGCCCCUCUCUCCUUUCCUUCCCGGGGAUCCUAGUGCUCCACUCCUCCCUGGACCACCCACUGACCCAUCCCUACCAGGUACCCCUAUUAUACCUGAACACAGGACGC